GGUGGAAACCUAUCCGGAAGAGGAGGUGGGGGAAAGAAGUUGAAAGGCUAUUGAUUCUUACCUUAAAGAGAGAAGAGCCGUGAUUCAAAAGCACCACAUUAAGACAGACUCCCCGACUGUGAGAUCCCAGGCACUUCACCGGCUGGCCGAGUCUCUCUCCAUUCUGACCCUUUCCGGGCUGCUGGCCCCCGGGGAGCGUGCACUAUCUGUUCCUCACGUUGGGGAAUAAUGUUACAAACCGGUGAAACUGAUGCAGCUGUUUUGUUCGACUGCUUUAGAGAAAAACCCAGCUUCACAGAGCCAAGCCUAAAUGACAGAGCUUCAUUCCAGGAGAAAACAUUGGCUUCAUUGGGUGUUUCUGCAGCCAGUCUAUGGACAUGAUGGAGGGCCUGGAAGAGCAUGAGUAAAGAAUUUCCUGCUGCCAUGAUGAGGUCUUAGGAAUCCAGAAAAGAUUGAAAUGGGCUACGUCUUCAAAACAGAUACCCUGAAUUAUUAUUUAUAUUUAUACUUCCAUAACACUUAGGAGCACUGACAAGCCUCAAUCAAGGAUCAGGGUCCCAGUGUGCUCGGUGCUGUACAGACCAAUCCCAAAGAAGAAACUGCCUGCCCCAGAUUGCUCACAUGUCAGACAGGACGUGAGCCGUGGACAAAACAGACAAAUGGGGCUUUGGAAGGAUCAGGUAGCAACACAGCAAACAAAACUUAGCUCUUAGCCAGCUGGACACCUCCGGAAAGAGAUGUGGUCUAAAAGUUUAAAAUGUAUUAGGACAGCAAA